AACAUGAAACCAUCACCUCUUUCUGAAACUCCUACUGACACACACCCAAUGUGGUAUUCCACUUGCUUUGCUGGUGCAUUCAUACUUCUGAUGGGUGAUGAUGUGAUUUGAAAGCUUUUUGUGCUGCCAGAGAUUGGACGCGAUAGACCUCCGUAAGAGCGGAGACCUCUCACGGUCCUCUCAGUCUCUCUGUUAAUCGACAAGCUCACUUACAACAUGAAGGAAAGAAAGCCCAAAAUCUGUGGGUUCUUGGAAGUGUCUGCCGCGAGGAUUCUCUGUUGCUGCGCUAGGAUGCUUCGAAGAGUGGGAGAGGUAACGCCCGUUUGAUUCUGAUGGGAAUUUAGUUUAGCAGAUUUUUGAUGUAGAUUCCAGGUUGAGAGAUUUUUGGAGAAACUCUUCGAGCUGUGGUGGGUUGCUCACAAGAAGGAGCCCUGCUCUUGAAGCGGACGAGAAGCGGUACAUUCAGGGCUCAAACUGCUGCAAGAAGGGAUACAAGCGUUGAAUUAUUCUUUGAGUGAAGCACUCGCAGAUGAGCUUUGUUAUUUUAUGGUCUCCAUCUCAAGAGAAGUUGCAGUUUGCCUUGCCAUGUCUCCAUGGCUUCGUGGGGAAGGUUUGCCCUUUCGUUUUGUGUCUGCGCAUGGUUAAUUGAUUCAGGGGUAUGGUUUGAUCAUGUUCUUGGCUCUAAACUUAGUCCCAUCACUACUAUUCGUCGGUCAGGGUUGUAAUGCGUGGUCCAUCGUCGGAGCUACUUUCCACUUCCCAUCGAAAGCUCUCAUUCAUGAUGCUCGAAGGUGUUAACCUGGUCUUUUACAUGCCUGCAGGACUGUGGGUUGUCCCUUUAGCUGGAAUAGGCUCCUAACCGUCCAAUGUUAAUUUCUUGGUCGACGUCAUUCGAUGUGAAUGCUCAAGACACUGAACGAUCAAAAGCUCCGGAUAUUUUAAAACUUCACUUCGCACUGCCUGUUUUCUACUGCACCUGGAUUGAACAAACUUCAAAACGCUGUCCUUCUCAGAAAGAACCACGAAUUGCAACUUCUUGGCAUCACCGUGAUCGUCCACUGUGCGAAUUUGAGGCUACUAGGCUGCGCCUCAUCUUACCACAUACUAGUUAAAUUGCUUCAAUUCAGUGACUUUGUUUGCCAAAUUAAUGUCCGUGGCAUCAUGAAAUUGUUGUCUAAUCUAAGCAGAACCACGAAUUGGAAAGGGGGGGGGGUGUUCAAAUUUAAGUGAAGCUAUUUCGGCAUGUGAGAAUGUUGAUUCGAUAUUAUCAGGGUUUAUAAUUAUUCAUGGCUUGAGGUUCUGAGAUUGAUUGUUAUACUAUGAAGAUUUGGUGGAUUUUGAAAUACAGUCUAGUAUUCAAGUUGUUGAGUCACACUUCAUGCUUUAGCGAUUUAAAGUUGCAGAUGAAAUAGUUUACUGACAAAUUUAAUGAUAUCUGAAGCGGCUUCAGAUGCAAAGAUCUCAGGUCUCCGUUUUCUCUGAAAGGCUAGCUUUUGGAAUGCUGAGGACGGACUGUGCAGCAUUGCAUGGAAGGGUUUCUCCACCAAGCUUUGCUUCAAUGCGGAGUCUCUCUUACCACCAGCAGAAGUGUUCUUGAACGGCUUUAUUUGAGUUCACCUGCAUUUUGUUGUACACUUUAGUGUACCCCCAAUUGGCUGUCGUCAAAUAUUUACAAGUUAAAGCUGCGUCUGAAGGAUCGUCACUGGUGAUUACGGACCUGAUGACGACCAUCAGCAUUAUUUCCACAGACAGUUAGUACAUUCCAACUAUGUUGGGGAUCACGUGGGCCGCGGCAUCUUACUGAUUCAAACUCUUCAAAAUAUGGCUGCGACACAGUUCCUUGUGAAUAUGUUUGAUGAACCUAAUUCAAACAUGAGAUUCUGAAGAGAACUAGUCAUGGAUCUCGAAGAAACUAAAGCUGAUAAUUGAUGCAGGGACGGAAGCAAAGUGGUUUGCAGACUAUUCUUAUUCUUAUUUUGGUUUUGGCUUCUUUGUUGGAGUCGUCAGCAAUUAGUUGCAACUUCAUUGAAAGAGGGUGUUAUUGGCAUGAUGAGCUUGUAACCCUAGAGUGAUUCCUGUGACACAAUACCCUUCAAUUCAAACUGAGAUACAUGGACUUGUUUGAAUCUG